UACGAAGGGUGCAAGCGUUACUCGGAAUUACUGGGCGUAAAGCGUGCGUAGGUGGUUUGUUAAGUCUGAUGUGAAAGCCCUGGGCUCAACCUGGGAACGGCAUUGGAAACUGGCUUACUAGAGUGCGGUAGAGGGGUGUGGAAUUCCCGGUGUAGCAGUGAAAUGCGUAGAUAUCAGGAGGAAUACCGAUGGCGAAGGCAGGUCUCUGGGCUAACACUGACGCUCAUGCACGAAAGCGUGGGGAGCAAACAGG
rnacentral:rRNA from 1 species